AGACCCGAAACCCGGUGAUCUAGCCAUGGGCAGGUUGAAGGUUGGGUAACACUAACUGGAGGACCGAACCGACUAAUGUUGAAAAAUUAGCGGAUGACCUGUGGCUGGGGGUGAAAGGCCAAUCAAACCGGGAGAUAGCUGGUUCUCCCCGAAAGCUAUUUAGGUAGCGCCUCGUGAAUUCAUCUCCGGGGGUAGAGCACUGUUUCGGCUAGGGGGCCAUCCCGGCUUACCAACCCGAUGCAAACUGCGAAUACCGGAGAAUGUUAUCACGGGAGACACACGGCGGGUGCUAACGUCCGUCGUGAAGAGGGAAACAACCCAGACCGCCAGCUAAGGUCCCAAAGUCAUGGUUAAGUGGGAAACGAUGUGGGAAGGCCCAGACAGCCAGGAUGUUGGCUUAGAAGCAGCCAUCAUUUAAAGAAAGCGUAAUAGCUCACUGGUCGAGUCGGCCUGCGCGGAAGAUGUAACGGGGCUAAACCAUGCACCGAAGCUGCGGCAGCGAACGUAUCACCCAAGACAACUUUACGGAGUUGGCGAUUGACGGAGCGAAGCGACGUCAAAGCGUUCAUUAAAGUCGAGUUGGCUUAGGGAUACGUUCGUUGGGUAGGGGAGCGUUCUGUAAGCCUGUGAAGGUGUGUCGUGAGGCAUGCUGGAGGUAUCAGAAGUGCGAAUGCUGACAUAAGUAACGAUAAAGCGGGUGAAAAGCCCGCUCGCCGGAAGACCAAGGGUUCCUGUCCAACGUUAAUCGGGGCAGGGUGAGUCGACCCCUAAGGCGAG
rnacentral:rRNA from 2 species